rnacentral:rRNA from 1 species
UGCGGCGUGCUUAACACAUGCAAGUCGAACGGAAAGGCCCUGCUUUUGUGGGGUGCUCGAGUGGCGAACGGGUGAGUAACACGUGAGUAACCUGCCCUUGACUUUGGGAUAACUUCAGGAAACUGGGGCUAAUACCGGAUAGGAGCUCCUGCUGCAUGGUGGGGGUUGGAAAGUUUCGGCGGUUGGGGAUGGACUCGCGGCUUAUCAGCUUGUUGGUGGGGUAGUGGCUUACCAAGGCUUUGACGGGUAGCCGGCCUGAGAGGGUGACCGGCCACAUUGGGACUGAGAUACGGCCCAGACUCCUACGGGAGGCAGCAGUGGGGAAUAUUGCACAAUGGGCGGAAGCCUGAUGCAGCAACGCCGCGUGCGGGAUGACGGCCUUCGGGUUGUAAACCGCUUUCGCCUGUGACGAAGCGUGAGUGACGGUAAUGGGUAAAGAAGCGCCGGCUAACUACGUGCCAGCAGCCGCGGUGAUACGUAGGGUGCGAGCGUUGUCCGGAUUUAUUGGGCGUAAAGGGCUCGUAGGUGGUUGAUCGCGUCGGAAGUGUAAUCUUGGGGCUUAACCCUGAGCGUGCUUUCGAUACGGGUUGACUUGAGGAAGGUAGGGGAGAAUGGAAUUCCUGGUGGAGCGGUGGAAUGCGCAGAUAUCAGGAGGAACACCAGUGGCGAAGGCGGUUCUCUGGGCCUUUCCUGACGCUGAGGAGCGAAAGCGUGGGGAGCGAACAGGCUUAGAUACCCUGGUAGUCCACGCUGUAAACGGUGGGUACUAGGUGUGGGGUCCAUUCCACGGGUUCCGUGCCGUAGCUAACGCUUUAAGUACCCCGCCUGGGGAGUACGGCCGCAAGGCUAAAACUCAAAGGAAUUGACGGGGCCCCGCACAAGCGGCGGAGCAUGCGGAUUAAUUCGAUGCAACGCGUAGAACCUUACCUGGGUUUGACAUGGAUCGGGAGUGCUCAGAGAUGGGUGUGCCUCUUUUGGGGUCGGUUCACAGGUGGUGCAUGGCUGUCGUCAGCUCGUGUCGUGAGAUGUUGGGUUAAGUCCCGCAACGAGCGCAACCCUUGUUCACUGUUGCCAGCACGUUAUGGUGGGGACUCAGUGGAGACCGCCGGGGUCAACUCGGAGGAAGGUGGGGAUGACGUCAAGUCAUCAUGCCCCUUAUGUCCAGGGCUUCACGCAUGCUACAAUGGCUGGUACAGAGAGUGGCGAGCCUGUGAGGGUGAGCGAAUCUCGGAAAGCCGGUCUCAGUUCGGAUUGGGGUCUGCAACUCGACCUCAUGAAGUCGGAGUCGCUAGUAAUCGCAGAUCAGCAACGCUGCGGUGAAUACGUUCCCGGGGCUUGUACACACCGCCCGUCAAGUCAUGAAAGUUGGUAACACCCGAAGCCGGUGGCCUAACCGUUGUGGGGGAGCCGUCGAAGGUGGGACUGGUGAUUAGGACU